AACAGUUGGCAGCAAUGAAGCAGAUGAGGCUGAAAAAAGUCAUGUAAAAAAUUUCCGCACAAAUUAUAAUUUUGCAAGUUUUAUUUUUUGCAAAUGAUUCCCCAGUUAAUUGUGCAUUUAGUUAGUGCGUAAGGAAUGUAAGAAUGAGAAUUUAGUCAAAAUGAUCCGCCUGAAGCAUUAUCAGUGGAGCAGGAAUCAGUAUUUCGUGUGUGGGCUUGUUUUUGGUAUCCUCUUGAGUCUCUAUGUGCCAAAUUACGAUUCCACCGAUGAUGAUUUCAUCUGUCCAGGAGGGAGUGAUGACACCGCCGGUGUGGAGGAUAAGUACGGGGAGGAUUUUGAGCCACAACUCAAUUUUGCCCAGAAACCCAUGUCAGCGAAGAAAGCCACGAAGAACAUCAUACGACCGCGAUACUUUUCAUCGGAACUGGGAAUCCGUGAGAAGGUCUUUAUUGGUGUGAUGUCAGCUCAAAAUGAGAUUGAUACCCUGGCAACGGCUUUCAAUAAGACAGUGGCGCAUCUUGUGAAUAAGAUAAAAUUCUUCAUAAAUGCCGACAAUGUGAAAUCCAACUUCAAACUGAAGAACAUUGUGGGCUUCACGGAUACGCGGGAGCACCUGAGACCUUUUCACAUCCUCAAAUACAUUGCAGACAACUACCUGGAUGACUACGAUUACUUUGUUCUCGCACCUGAUACCACGUACAUCGAUGCACGUGUCCUGAGGGAUAAGUUGUCCCACAUUAGCAUUAGCUUUGACAUUUAUUUGGGCACAAAGAUGCGCACGGAGGACGUUGAGAGUGAUGCUGAUGCAAAUUACUGCGAUCUCGAUGCGGGGAUUGUGCUCAGUAGCAGUGUCAUCCGGAAGAUUCGCUCAAAUCUCGAUUGGUGCGUCCGCAAUGCUGCCACGCAGCUACACAGCCUCAACAUUGGGCGCUGCGUGAAGUAUUCAACGAAAAUUGAUCAGUGCCAACCAGCAUGGCAAGGGAUUGCCAUCACCAGCUACAGGCUCACAGCCAGCAGUCACAAGAUCUACCGUGACUUCCAUUUCCUGCGCGAUGAUGCGAAAUUCAAUGAAGCAACGGCGAUAUUCCCCAUUACGAUCUCUGAUGACUUCUACCGGCUUCACAUUUACUUUUCACGCUUGCACUUGGAAGCAGCAGUUGGGAAUUUGGUCAUGUUGGAGAGGAAUUCAACGGAAAUCUCCAAUGGAAGCAUCAGCAAUGAUAUUCUAGAGAUACGCUGGCCCCUUGGCGUCCCACCGUCGAGCAUUCCCGCCACACGACAUGAUCUCCUCACGUGGACUAUGCUCAAUGAGACCCAUUCAUUUCUCUUGGAUUCCGAAACAAAUGUCGCCCCACUUCCGGGCAUUGAUGCAGCUGAUUUUGCCAAAAUACUCAAUCACACCCUCGAACGAGCAGCCGCAACGUACACCGGAUUGGAAUUCCUUUCCGUGCACACGGCAUACAGACGAUUUGAUCCUGUCCGGGGGAUGGACUACAAACUCUUGCUGAAAUUCCUCAACACCUCCACACGACGCGUAACCGUUAAAGCAUUCGAAGCAAUGAAACCCCUUGGGAUGGUGGAGAUUAUCCCCUCACCGUAUGUGACGGAGAGCACAAGGAUUGCCAUCCUACUGCCAACAUUUGAGCAUCAAGUGGAGGAAUCGCUGAAUUUCAUUGAACGCUACGAGAAGAUUUGCAUGGAGAAUCUCGACAAUACCUUCCUCAUGCUUGUCUUCCUCUAUGGCGCUGAGACACCCAGCAAGGGGGAUGGAGAUGUUUUCGGGCGCCUCAAGAGUCACGCGAUAAAUCUCUCGGAGAAAUUCAAAGCGGAUGGAUCGAGAAUAGCGUGGGUGUCAAUUCGUUUACCCACUGAAUGCACAAAACCCUUCAAUGUGGAUGAUUUAGCAUUGAGCAGUAUGUACGGGAACGAUGAGAUACUAAGCUUAGCUGUUACGGAUUUGGCGUUGAGAAAAAUUGGCCUCGAUAGUCUCGUGAUGGUUGCAUCAAAUUCCAUGGCAUUCAAGCCAGAUUUUCUCAAUAGAGUACGAAUGAACACAAUUCAGGGAUUUCAAGUGUACAGUGCCAUUGGAUUUAUGCUGUAUCCCUGCCGCUGGACAGGACUCUGCAAGGAAUGCUCUAAUUGCGAUGUAAGUCAGAGUUUGGGGUACUUUGACAGAGAGAAUUUCGACGUGGUAUCGUUCUAUAGUCGAGAUUAUGUUGAAGCGAGAAAAAAGCUGGAAUCUUCCGUGCCAAUUGUGAGGUCUGACCGAGAUAUUUCGCAGCUACUGGAGCGUACUGAUAAGAGUGUCAAUUCCAUUGUGGGGAUGUUCAUCAAGUCCGACACUCCAAUUCAUCUCUUGCGUGCUGUGGAGCCAAAUUUAAAGUUUGGCGGUGCUCUUGUGAAUCAUCUGGACAGGCAGACGACAGGCGUGCCCAAAUGCAUUUAUCGCGACAAUCCGGAAAAACAUGGGAAGUGCAUUCGAAUGGGAUCAAAGAAGCAACUUGGGGAAUGGAUUGUUCGCCAAGAGGGUGAUGUACGGUAGAUUUCUUUUCUCAAAAAGAUUUACAAAAUCAAAAGAAAAAAAAAUGAGGUUGUUGUAAAAGCUCACACAAGUGCCAAAGUAUUGUUGUAUUAAUAUUUUUUUCUUAGUUUAGAAUGAGUUGAUUUUUGAGCACUUUUUAUGGAGAUUUUUUUCUUGGGGCACAAAAAUGUGUUUUUUAUUGUAAAAAUGAAUUUUAAAUGUAACGAUCCAACUGCAAAUUUUUUUUGCAAUUUUUUAUGGUUGGAACGACAAUUUCUCGAAAGAAAAUAAAUUGAUGGCUUUUGAGACCAUUUUAUAUAAAUUUUCAAAAGGAUAAAAAAUAUAUUUUGGUUGUAAUAUUUUCAUUUAGAAAAAAAUAAAGAACAUUAGAACAGAAAUAUUUAAAAAAAAAAAAAACAUUAAACUACUCUGCGUUGAUACCACUGCUU